CCCAAAUAUUAUGUGGCAGUAUAGUUCUCAAAGCUCUGUUCCCCUUCAUUUUUAACUGACUAAACACUAGAGGAAUGUCACACAGUGAACUGACUCCACUGAAAUGUGGAGCAAUCUGUUCCAGAAGUCAGGAACUUGGUCUGCGGGUCAACUGCAGAAAAGCUUAGAGAGUAAGAAUGCAGAUAAGUGGGGUAGUCUGUUCCCUGGGACUCCACCCACUACUGAUCACUGUGCCUCUAGUGGAACUUUCUCCAGGAUAGAGCUUCUCUAAGGGCUAAUGUGUAAAUCCAGAGACACUGUUUUACCCAUAUUGGUGAUAUUACAGGUGCUGUUCAAAUGAAACAGGAGAGGAAUUCCCUGGUGGCCUAGUGGUGAAGGAUUUGGCAUUGUCAUUGCUGUGGUUCCCUGGCAUAGGAACUUCCACGUGCUUUAGGCAUGGCCAAAAAAUGAAAACAGGAGAAAGAACAAAAGCAGAAAGGAUCCCCAAAAAGUAAAGAUCUCAGCACAUGGUGAGGUCAGAAGAUAAAGUGACCAGAGGCUUUGGGGCAAAGAAUCACCAAUAACAGGAAUUAUUGCAUUAUUUUAUAUUUCUUGGGACAUUUGCUUACUCUGGGAAUGAUGCCCAGUUAAAUCAGAAUUGCUGAUCAUGGAAAUAUAGAAAAAAAAAUUUGCUAUUCAGCUAGUGUAUGCAAAAAUUCCAACUUCACCUCGAGCUGAGAGAAUCAGAAUCCAGACGGCAGACUAAGCAAGCCCAGCAUUAUCAUGUCCAAAGUUAAGCAAAGUGUUGGUGGGCUUGUGCUAUCGACCACCUUGCCAGGUGUACAUUAGAGCUGCAGAAUCUGCCACAGAGAUGACUGAGGUAGGCAAGAUACUAUGCAUCUUUCUCAUAUUGCAUAUGAGAUACUUGGGUGCAUUGAUCAAUCCAUCUGGCCAGUGGAUUAAUUAAAAAAUUAUUUAUUGAGCACCUACUAUAUGCUAAGUUGAGUGCUAGGGAGUCAUUGGUGAAUAAGAAAGAAAAGGACUCUCAUGGAGGAGUACAUAUUCUAGUGGGAAGACAGUAAACAGACAGAAAUAACAAGAUAAUUUCAGAUUGUGAUGAAUGUUUAGAAAAAUAUAGACUACAUUUGACAGGAACCUGAAGAGAGGGCACCACUUAGAUAGAGUGGUUAGGAAACGCUCUUUUGAGUUGAGGCCUUAGGAAUGAAUGGAGCAGUUCAGAGAGAAUAAAAGUGUAAUGGUUCUGAAGCAGGAUGGAAUUUGUCCUAUUCUUGGAACAGGAAAAAGGCCAGUAUGGCUGUGACACAGCACCUAUCUGGGAGAGCAGUGAGUGUGAAGCUGGGAAGAGCAGGCAAGUAUUGGAGCAUGUAGGACCCUGUAGGCACUGAUGAGGGAUCCAGUGACUUGUCCAAGCUCACUCCACCAUGAAUGGCAUGAAGCUUGCUACCUGGGUGCUACCAUCUGUCCUUGGUUCACUGCAGCCCAUCUCUGGCAACAAGAGGAGGCUUGCUGGAAGCCGGCUCACCUCAGGGAGCUCUAUAAACUCAGCCACAGCUUCAGCCACCACUGCAGGUAAUCCAUGAGGAAAAUCCACAAAAAUACAGAACUGGCUUUGGAUGGAGGCCUGCUAUGAAAACUUUCUAAGACUCUGAAUG